UGGGGAAUUUUUGGACAAUGGGCGAAAGCCUGAUCCAGCAAUGCCGCGUGUGUGAAGAAGGCCUUCGGGUUGUAAGCACUUUUGUCCGGAAAGAAAUCCUUGGCUCUAAUACAGUCGGGGGAUGACGGUACCGGAAGAAUAAGCACCGGCUAACUACGUGCCAGCAGCCGCGGUAAUACGUAGGGUGCAAGCGUUAAUCGGAAUUACUGGGCGUAAAGCGUGCGCAGGCGGUUUGCUAAGACCGAUGUGAAAUCCCGGGCUCAACCUGGGAACUGCAUUGGUGACUGGCAGGCUAGAGUAUGGCAGAGGGGGGUAGAAUUCCACGUGUAGCAGUGAAAUGCGUAGAGAUGUGGAGGAAUACCGAUGGCGAAGGCAGCCCCCUGGGCAAUACUGACGCUCAUGCACGAAAAGCGUGGGGAGCAAACAGGAUUAGAUACCCUGGUAGUCCACGCCCUAAACGAUGUCAACUAGUUGUUGGGGAUUCAUUUCCUUAGUAACGUAGCUAACGCGUGAAGUUGACCGCCUGGGGAGUACGGUCGCAAGAUUAAAACUUAAAGGAAUUGACGGGGUCAUAGCUGUUUUCCU
rnacentral:rRNA from 1 species